GUCGGAAUGAUGGCGGCGUCACAGAGGCUUGAUGAGACCUGGUGGUGUUCUGUGCCGCUCUGCGUCCUGUUGGCAGCGAUGUGUUCACCUUGAGAAAUCCACCAACGUGUGCACCUAAGAUGUGAGCAUGUAAAGUGUUGUUCUGGGCGCCUGUGUUGUCCUGUAUCAACUCAGCCAAUCCCACAUCACCACUACAGAUUCUUGACUCUCUGAACCUGGAGCGGCUGGCUCACCAGCAGGGGAGCCUAGUCAGUCAGUGACUAGGCCAGCCUGAGCACGCGGUCUGUCCCAGGGCCUGUGCCAGGUGCUAGGAACUCCGGAAUGAAUGAAGCGGAUGAAGCCGACACAGUCCCUAGGCUUUGAAGAGUCUUUCUUGGGAGCUGUGUGGGCGGUAUUGCCUGGAGAUCAACCAUAAACAAAUAACAGGCAACAACGAUCCAGAAAGUGAUCUUAUCAGGAGGGAAGAAAACGCAGCAGUGUGAGCGUGUACCCGCGCGCGCGCCGUGUGCGCGGGGGCAUCUAAGGAGGAACCGCUUCGCGACGAGGCAGCCAUCAGCAGACCGCUUCCGCUCCGCCGACCCCGCCGCAGCCCGUGGCACACGCGCCUUCGCUGAACCAAGCCCCUCUCUUCCCACUGAGCUCGCGGUCCCCUAGUCCCCGCGGCAGAACCGUGACAGGGGCUGCCCGUCCUGGGGCCGCGCUGGGGCAUAGGCUCUCUCUCGGCUCCCGGGUGCCUCUCUGGCCGGUUCUUCCCCCAAGCAUCCUUUCCUGAGGCCGAAGCUGCAGGGAAAAGGAACCUGGCGUGGGGGAGGCAGGUCCCGCCUGGAGGCUUGCUCCCCAGCGACACUUCUUGGAUGUCGGGAGAGCCUGCAGGGGACCUGCAUCGGUGGAGAGGCCUCCUGAUGUUGGCGGCUGGUUCUGUCAGACCCGGGGAGUGAUUGGCUGGUCAAAGCCACCCAGGCCACCCUGCCCCUCUGUCGGGGCCUGGCUCUGGCUGGGGUGACCAGUGCCACUCCAGGAAAGACUGGCUGUUGGGAGAUUCUUCUGUUAUUCAGAGGGACAGUGGCCUUCUGUGGCCACUCCCUCCCUCUGGGCCGAAGGAGGUGGGCACGGUGGGUGUGAUGCUACUAGCCCAGGCCCGGCACCUCCACACCCACACAAGGAGAGACGUCCAACCUGCCCAGGCAGGCAGAUGGGAAGCACCUCCAUCCUUCACAGGACCAGACUCUCAGCCCUGAGUCCUCCCCAUGGGAAGCACGUGCUCUGAGCAGGCAGGCCAACCUCAGAGAGGAAAGGAGAGAGUCCCCACCCGAACUUCUACCGAGUGUCAUGCUGAUGCCUGUUUCUCCGAGGAAAGAGGAGGCUGGAGAGAGGAGGUUCCCCCAACCACCAGUGUCUGCCAGGGCAGGGCAGUGGGGAGGCCGCUGCUGUCUCCCUCACACUCAGGGCAGGUGGUGCUCUGCAUGUUGACCAGGCUGUGCUUCGGAGAUGGGCCUUGUCAACCAUCUCCACGGCUACUGCAAAGAUGUCCUCCCUUGUGGGGUUGCAGAGAGCUUCACAAAUUUGAUGGCAUUUUGGCUUUCUCCUGAGGUAUUCCCCCAAUAAACAACUUGCACCAGAA